rnacentral:rRNA from 1 species
CCUACGGGCGGCAGCAGUGGGGAAUAUUGCACAAUGGGGGAAACCCUGAUGCAGCGACGCCGCGUGAGUGAAGAAGGAUUUCGGUACGUAAAGCUCUAUCAGCAGGGAAGAAAAUGACGGUACCUGACUAAGAAGCCCCGGCUAACUCCGUGCCAGCAGCCGCGGUAAUACGUAGGGGGCAAGCGUUAUCCGGAGUUACUGGGUGUAAAGGGAGCGUAUACGGCAGCGCAAGUCUGGAGUGAAAUCCCAUGGCUUAACCAUGGAACUGCUGUGGAAACUGUGCAGCUAGAGUGCAGGAGAGGUAAGCGGAAUUCCUGGUGUAGCGGUGAAAUGCGUAGAUAUUAGGCGGAACACCAGUGGCGAAGGCGGCUUACUGGACUGUAACUGACGUUGAGGCUCGAAAGCGUGGGGAGCAAACAGGAUUAGAUACCCCAGUAGUC